CAAACAUGAGACAUGGCACCGAUGAAGACCAAAGUCUCUUGGACCUCCGAAAUGGAGGACCAACUUGUUGACUUGUGGCAACAGCAUGAAUGCUUGUAUAACGUUUCACCCAAAACUUACCGCAACAGAACAGACAAAGAGAAGAGUCGGACCGAAAUUGCUACUGCAAUGGAUGUACCCGUAAUUGCAGUGGAAGAAGUAAAGACGAGAAGCACUACAUUGAGAACCCAGUAUUCAAAGCUCCUGAAGUCCAAACCCAGUAGGAGUGGGGAAAAACCAUUAACAAGCAAGCAAAAAUGGUUGCUGAAGGCUUCGAUGUUUCUGAAGCAACUUGUCACUCAACAGGCAACUGAGAGCAGCCUUCACCAAUCAGUGAAAGAAGCCCUGGCUGCUGAGGACCCCACCAGUGAUCUAGAUGAUGAGUUGGCGACAUCUUCAGACUUCACUGUGGAGGUGUCAGCAAGUGCAUCCAGCAGUUUGAGGAAGAGCAUCAUGCUCGAAAUGUCACGCAAAAUAAAAAAUUGCAUACAGGAGCUCUUUUGGUGUGCGGAUCGCUUUUUUAUUUUUUCACGCUUUUGAUACUUUGUGAUCCAGCACCCAAUCCAGUGGGCUUCAGGGAUGUGCGUGUCCUAGUUUUUAAUCAUAGCAAGUGCAUCUCAACCAAAUACUCCUCUGAAUGAUGAUGAGAGUCUCACACCUCCCACCCAUACCAAGAAGCGAAAGAAAAGCCAAUCUGCUGAUUUAAUUGAAUAUCAGAAAGUCAAAAUGUUGCAGCAGAUGUCUACCACUUUUCUGGCAGGUAGUAGCAGGCCUGUGCCAGAUAGUGACACUACUGUACCUUUGGAGCACAAGUAACUGAGGAGUUGAGGGCAAUUAAGGCUCGUCAGGCUAGCCAUAGGGCAAUGCUAGAUGGUGAUGAGGAAAUAAGACUGUACGGUUUUGGCUGGGUUUACCAAAGGAUAUUGUUCCGUUUUAGCCAGUCUGUUCUAAAUUUGUUGGUAUUUCAUGGCUGCAUUUGCACCUGUGUGUUCUGUUUUUGUGUAUGUAAAUAGGUGUGUGCCACAGCCCGGCGGUGAUUGGCGGAUUGAUUAGGUCCUGGUUCCUGAUUGGCUGCAGCCAAGAUGGCGGUUGCCGGUGAGCUAGCAGGCAUACCUCACCUUCCUCCUCUCCCAACCGGCCACACAUUAUUGUAGUGAACCAUCAUUUUGUAUAGAUUGUUGAAUCGUAGGGGUGGACUGCCAGUUUUGUUCCUCACACUUUUAUCCUGUUUAUUUAGUUUGGGAGGUAAGCUUUUUGUCAUUUGUUUCUUAUUAUUUGGUUAGGUUAUUUACUUACUCCCUGGACAGGAUUGUUUUUGUUUCUUAUUUUGGCCUUAGUCCACCCUGAUGUUAUUAUUUCACUAAAUUCUGUUAUUUAAAUAUUGUUAUACAUUUGCAUUAUUGAUUGUUCCACAUGUUUGUGUUAUUGUGGCUACUUGGGACUUGGGGAAGAUGGGCCUUUCAUGUUGUGUCUCAGACACCCCUAGACUGGGCAUAACAACAUGUCAGUUUCAAGACACUAGCACUUUAUUUGUGAGUCAUUGUUUUUUGUUAUACUUGAAAAUACUUAGGUUAACAUUUUUGAAGAAUUGUAUGAGCAAAGGGAACUUGAUAUGUCAGUUCAAUGCUAACUGAAGCUCUUCAUUUACAUUUAUUUAAGUUCAUUUCAAAUUCAGUACCUGUUUUGCAGCUUUGAGAUUUUCAGGAGACGCUGAAUGUUAUCUUCAAAUGUUACAUUUUAUAAAUGAACAAGAAAAAAAUAGCUGGAAAUAUUUUUUAUUCAGUAUUUUUAUUUACAAAAAGUAUUUACAAAAAAUA